GACGAACGCUGGCGGCGUGCCUAAUACAUGCAAGUAGAACGCUGAAGAGAGGAGCUUGCUCUUCUUGGAUGAGUUGCGAACGGGUGAGUAACGCGUAGGUAACCUGCCUUGUAGCGGGGGAUAACUAUUGGAAACGAUAGCUAAUACCGCAUAACAAUGGAUGACACAUGUCAUUUAUUUGAAAGGGGCAAUUGCUCCACUACAAGAUGGACCUGCGUUGUAUUAGCUAGUAGGUGAGGUAAUGGCUCUCCUAGGCGACGAUACAUAGCCGACCUGAGAGGGUGAUCGGCCACACUGGGACUGAGACACGGCCCAGACUCCUACGGGAGGCAGCAGUAGGGAAUCUUCGGCAAUGGGGGCAACCCUGACCGAGCAACGCCGCGUGAGUGAAGAAGGUUUUCGGAUCGUAAAGCUCGGUUGUAAGUCAAGAACGGGUGUGAGAGUGGAAAGUUCACACUGUGACGGUAGCUUACCAGAAAGGGACGGCUAACUACGUG
rnacentral:rRNA from 1 species